rnacentral:rRNA from 1 species
GGUAGAGAGAAGCUUGCUUCUCUUGAGAGCGGCGGACGGGUGAGUAAUGCCUAGGAAUCUGCCUGGUAGUGGGGGAUAACGCUCGGAAACGGACGCUAAUACCGCAUACGUCCUACGGGAGAAAGCAGGGGACCUUCGGGCCUUGCGCUAUCAGAUGAGCCUAGGUCGGAUUAGCUAGUUGGUGAGGUAAUGGCUCACCAAGGCGACGAUCCGUAACUGGUCUGAGAGGAUGAUCAGUCACACUGGAACUGAGACACGGUCCAGACUCCUACGGGAGGCAGCAGUGGGGAAUAUUGGACAAUGGGCGAAAGCCUGAUCCAGCCAUGCCGCGUGUGUGAAGAAGGUCUUCGGAUUGUAAAGCACUUUAAGUUGGGAGGAAGGGCAGUUACCUAAUACGU